rnacentral:rRNA from 1 species
CUUGUACUGUGAAACUGCGAAUGGCUCAUUAAAUCAGUUAUCGUUUAUUUGAUAGUACCUUACUACAUGGAUACCUGUGGUAAUUCUAGAGCUAAUACAUGCUAAAAACCCCGACUUCAGGAAGGGGUGUAUUUAUUAGAUAAAAAACCAACGCCCUUCGGGGCUCCUUGGUGAAUCAUAAUAACUUAACGAAUCGCAUGGCCUUGCGCCGGCGAUGGUUCAUUCAAAUUUCUGCCCUAUCAACUUUCGAUGGUAGGAUAGUGGCCUACCAUGGUGGCAACGGGUAACGGGGAAUUAGGGUUCGAUUCCGGAGAGGGAGCCUGAGAAACGGCUACCACAUCCAAGGAAGGCAGCAGGCGCGCAAAUUACCCAAUCCCGAUACGGGGAGGUAGUGACAAUAAAUACUGAUACGGGGCUCUUUUGGGUCUCGUAAUUGGAAUGAGAACAAUUUAAAUCCCUUAACGAGGAACAAUUGGAGGGCAAGUCUGGUGCCAGCAGCCGCGGUAAUUCCAGCUCCAAUAGCGUAUAUUAAAGUUGUUGCAGUUAAAAAGCUCGUAGUUGAACCUUGGGUCUGGCUGGCCGGUCCGCCUCACCGCGAGUACUGGUCCGGCUGGACCUUUCCUUCUGGGGAACCUCAUGGCCUUCACUGGCUGUGGGGGGAACCAGGACUUUUACUGUGAAAAAAUUAGAGUGUUCAAAGCAGGCCUUUGCUCGAAUACAUUAGCAUGGAAUAAUAGAAUAGGACGUGUGGUUCUAUUUUGUUGGUUUCUAGGACCGCCGUAAUGAUUAAUAGGGAUAGUCGGGGGCGUCAGUAUUCAGCUGUCAGAGGUGAAAUUCUUGGAUUUGCUGAAGACUAACUACUGCGAAAGCAUUCGCCAAGGAUGUUUUCAUUAAUCAGGGAACGAAAGUUAGGGGAUCGAAGACGAUCAGAUACCGUCGUAGUCUUAACCAUAAACUAUGCCGACUAGGGAUCGGACGGGAUUCUAUAAUGACCCGUUCGGCACCUUACGAGAAAUCAAAG